rnacentral:rRNA from 1 species
CGACCGCAAGGCUCUUGCUACUCGAGCACACCAAUUUACGCUUGUUGUGUUUGUCAGAGUUAUUUGUGACUAAAAUUAUAGACAACUUUUAACAAUGGAUCUCUUGGCUCUUGCAACGAUGAAGAACGCAGUAAAGUGCGAUAUAUAGUGCGAUUUGCAUGAAUCUGUGAGUCAUCGAGUCUUUGAACGCAACUUGCGCCCAGCAAUGGGCAUGUCUGUUUGAGUACCGCAAAACCAUCUGUUCUCUGCAAAGAGGGCGAAUUGGGCCUCUGCAUGUGCUUUUGUGUAUGCAAGGCCUGGAACGUAGCAAGAAGGUGCCGCUGAUGGAGGCCCUGCUGUGUGCUAUAAACACAUUCUUGUGUUUGGUCGCAGCAGGCGUCUCUGCCUGUGGACACAAUACUAUAUCUUCUAAUUUGGUCUCAAAUCAGGCAGGACUACCCGCUGAACUUAA